UUCAGACUCUAAGCUGGAUAAAGUGACACUUCUCCAGAUGGAUUCUAAACUACCAAUUGACCUUUUGGAAAAUGUAAUGCAACUGGCAAUUGAAGGCUGCAAAGCAAUAGCAAACUACAUUAGAGAAAUUUUACUGGAGAACACAAAUCAACUCGAGUAUCGACGAGGUGUAUAGUUUUGUAGCAGAAGUAUUGUUUCUUAUUUGCUUCCAUUUAAUGCUUUCUAUUUGUUUCCUAUUUUACUGGAAACAUUUAUUUUGGUAUACGAUGCUGACUAAACGUAACCUGUAGUUUGUAGAAUUGGUUUCUCAUUUCUUCCAA